AAAUGUAAAGGACACUGAACUAAGACAGAAAACACCUGCUUCCCCAAGAUCUAUUUAAACUUAAUACAGAUAUGAUCAGCCAACUGGUCAGUCACAGAAACCUCUUAUGCAAUAUCUGUUCUAAGGCUGUGCAACCUUUCAAGAGACAAAUCCUCCCACGAAGUGGCAAACAGACACCCAUGUGAGAGUUCUAUCAACCUCUGACCCUUCAGAAGUGCACAUACAGGAGGACUUGUUCACCUCCCCACCCAUCCCCCGCCCCCCACCAGUCCCUCCACACUGGUGUUUCUAUGACAUGGUCCCUAGAAUAAUGUGCUUGCAGGGUAGCUUUCUCAGAGUGAAAAUGUUCACUUAAAAAUUAAAUUAUAUUCCAAUUAAUAUUAAGGACUCCACAGAUGGCUACUGGAGAAGGCUGGUAGGAAGUGAGUCAACAGUCCACCAGGUCUCCGAGGCCCCCUUUCCCGGGGCUCGCUCUCUGGGUCUACCUUGUUGAGCUGCCGGCACAUGGACACAAUCACAAAUGGUUAUGUACUGGAACUAUGUUUCUGCUCACAAAAGCCAUGAGGAUUGGCAGACUCCUGCCAAUAUGUGUAGAUCACCCUUUCAUCUGCCUAAAGACAAAGAUCUGUGAGUGAUGAAAAUAGCUACAACUCUCUGUGGUUGACAUAUAAAAAAAACCAUGUUCCAGAUCCUGAUGUAAUUCUCCAAGGCCUCAGACCUCAGAAGUGGGAAGGAAAAUGAAUUUAGACAAACACUCGCAUAGAAAUCAACAGGGCUACUUCCACACCGCACAGUUAAGAGGCGCUCAAUUCAAGUCUGUUUCUACGAAGAAACUUUACGCUGACUGCAAAGGAGAAAGAACUAAAUAAGGCUUGCUUUUUACUGUAACUCAUUUUAGUGUUUCCUUUCUUUUUAAAGGCAAAUGGAAAAUGAUGGGAAUUUCAUGCCUCUAGGUUUCAAGAAAGGACUCUCCACACAGGGUAUCCCAAAUUUUAGUGAAGGCAAAAGACUGAAUACUUAUUUAUCAAAAAGCUAAAUAAUUAAGGAUAAAGUUAUUAAAAAUAAAUGGUCUAACAAACAGGACAUUAAAUAGAUAUCCUUGACCAAGAGAUAUUUAAAAAGUCAAGUCUACAGUGCAGGAAAGGAGACAGGCAUGUGGAGAUUUGGGGAAAGUACACCAUUCUGACCAGGGAGAAGGGUCAGCCUGAGGUCCUACAGAUAAGUACAUAGCUAGACACAAAGAGCAGCAAGGAGGGCAGAGGGGCUGUUACAGAAGGGACAAAGCAAGAAAGGGUAAAAAUGGAAGACAGCUGAGGUGGUGGGAGUCAAGUCACACAGGGCCUUGUAGACUUCGGAAGGAUUCGAAGGUUUUUUGUUUUGUUUUGUUUUGGACAGUACUAGGAUUUGAAUUCAAGUACACAUACUUGCUAGGAAGAUUCUCUACUACUGAACUCCCUUGCCAGCAUGUGACUAAUUAAGGGAAGAGUAGCUACAUAUCUCUAGGUUUGGGUACUAUUUCCUGCCUGGUAAAACUUGGUUGAGUGAGAAAAAAUAUCAAGGGACUAGAAUCUAAAUUAUUAUUAUUAUUUUUCCAAGUGAGCUGAGUUGGCAGGGGUUGCUGUUGCCAAAACUGUUUUAACAACAGUUCUGACACGAAGACUGAAAUCUAAACAGCAUGAAGAAAUCUCGAAAGCUGAGCAGUCUCCAUUAUCUCAUGCUUGUGCGACUGGAGUCCAAAAGAUGAGUGAUGAUUCUCUAUUUGUGCAAGCAGAACAGCAGUCCAAGGCCCCAAGGAUUCUCCAUUUGUGCAAGCAGAACAGCAGUCCAAGGCCCCAAGGAUUCUCCAUUUGUGCAAGCAGAACAGCAGUCCAAGGCCCUGACGGAGCCACCAACUGCACAUCUGCUUGUUUACACAGCUCAGAGAUGGUGAGUGGACAAACAGCUCAUUUCUCCUGCAACUGAGCUAACAUGAGGGUGUGUGUUAGGGUGGUGGUGGCUGCUGUCAUAUGGGACAGGGGAGGAGUCAGAAGAUGUCUCAUGAGAGGGGGCCUCCAGAUCAAAGUCACGGCCCCGCAAGCCAAGCUAAGAGCAGUUCAAGCCGCUGACUUCUCACGAGUGAGGAUAGCUUUACCAUUUUCUGCAUUACCACCUAGUCCAAUCAGGCACCGAGUUGGACUUGUACUCCCUGGGAUCAGCACAUGUUGAGAGAUUCAGGUGAGAGAAGUAACCAGGGAGUGACAGCACCAAGCUGGCCUCCAGUCUUUGGCAAGUAGGAGGAUUCUGUUCAAGUGCGCUUGGCCCUUUCAGAUUUCUCUCCGUGUGUCGCACCUGCUGCACUGCACAGCAGUCUGUCUCCAUUCCUCCUUGUUGGACAGACUCGACUGUAAGUUACCCGAGGACACGGGUGUGAAGCCCUCCAGUUUCCACAGCAGGCUACCUUGCCACGGAGGGCUGUGCAUGAGAAAACACCUGCCUGUGGUCCUAACACAGGUUCUAGUUCUUUAUUUGCCAACAUCAGAAAGUUGGUUCCUUGAGACAAGCGACUCGGAUGUCUCAAUGUUGCCAGCAGCUGUCACAGUCCCUAGACAACUCCAAGGAUUUUUCUCAAAAACUCAUUCCUCAGCUUAUAUGGGGUACACAUCGCAAGGCCAACUUGGGCUACCAAGUACAUUUCAGGGAAGCUCGGCUAUAUACAGAGAACAUGUCUCAAAACAAAUAGAAGAACCCUAGCCAAAUCUAUUUCUCCUCAAAAUGACUUUAGGCUUAAAAAUAAUUAUUCCCUGCUGCCAAGGUAUUACACUAAUCCAUAACAAAUACUGCAAUAGAACAGGGAAUAAUAAUAAGAAAGGUAAUAAAUAAUUUGCUUCCAAUUCUCCAGAACCAACUACAAGUACACACUGCAGUCCAUAUACUUAAGGGAGGUAAUAAAGCCAACUAUAUAUUAUUCCCCCUGACACUCAGGCAAGAAGUAUGACAAACUAGUGUUGAACAGACCUCAGAGGUCACCACCCUCCCUAGGCAGAAAGACCUACAGCCCUGGACUCCAAUACAGAAUGGGGUGAGGUCUGUGGGCAACCUCCCACACUAGAGCACCACCCACCCACCUUCCUGCAACUGCACUGCGGACCUUGCUGACCACCUGUGUGGUUCAGCCUCCACGAUCAGAGCAGCUGGCAGCAAGAAGGCCCAGGAAAACUAGAAAAGGAGACAGAGCUCUUUCCCAAAGAAGGGUAAGUCCUAGCCAACCUCCAGGACAGUAGUACUCUUAGGAGGAGCCAGGACACCCUGAAUGAGUGGCUGGCAGCAGUUCUGUUUUUCCCUGCAUCACUAUGAGAACAGUGCAAUCACUUGGUUAUAGCAUUCUGAAGAUGUUACUAAUGGCAUACAAGCAUGGUUGUAGUCUCUAAUCUCUGCAUAUUGCAAUGUACAAUGAACGGAAACCAGUUUCCUUCAGGAGCAGCUGUGUGAAAGGCUUGUUAGAUUAUGUAGAAUGCCACAAACAGACAAGGCACAGGGGGUUGAAUCUUGGUUAUUUCAUUCUGUGCUAAGGCACCAUGGUGGCUUUGCGGAAAAGAGUCAUCUAGGUAGGACAGCCAUAUCUGAGAUGAGGGCACAGCUAUCUUAAGAGGAGAGAGAAUGCACAAACAAGGUGCAGUUAGCAGAAUGUCAUACAGGGUAAGAAGUCUGUAAUUUUGGCAAUGGUAAUAUUGGAAAGAAGAAUGUGCACACAACUAGUUAAAUCUCCAAGUGCAUGAGAAGUUGUUUAAAGAAGAUGACUCCUUGUUCUGCUGGUCCAUAGUUCUCAAUCUUUAGAAGGAGUGUCACACAACAUACAAGUCCUGUGUUACACAAAACUGUUGCCCAAAGAGAGAUUUACACACAGGAACAAAAUUUUAAAACAAACCAACCACCACUAUUUAUCAUAGUUUCUCCCUCCAGCCACUGGCUUUCUUUACUCCUUUGGCUAUUACUUGUGAUAUUUUUGUUUGGAAUUUCCCUGCCCCCUUUCCUGACAGCUCAUUGAUCUUCAGUUUGGAUCACUACAAUCUGUGGGAAAUAAAGGUCAAUCUUCUAGCAUGUCCUGUUUAGACAUCAUUUGGAUGUUGUCCAUUUAAU